rnacentral:rRNA from 1 species
AUUGAACGCUGGCGGCAGGCUUAACACAUGCAAGUCGAACGAAGCGGGGACGGGUGCGUAACACGUGGAUAACCUCCUAUACGACUGGGAUAACUUCGGUAAACCGGAGCUAAACCGGAUACUUAUAGAUGGAUCCGCGCUGCAUUAGCUAGUUGGUAAGGGAACGGCUUACCAAGGCAACGAUGACUAGCCGACCUGGAGGGGUGAUCGGCCAAACUGGAACUGAGACACGGGCAAGACCCUGAAGGGAGGCAGCAGUAGGGAAUCUUCCGCAAUGGGCGAAAGCCUGCCGGAGCAACGCCGCGUGAGUGAUGAAGGUCUUCGGAUCGUAAAACUCUGUUAUUAGGGAAGCGGUACCGGAAUAGAAAGCCACGGCUAACUACGUGCCAGCAGCCGCGGUAAUAC